GCGGUUGUCGAGCAUGCUCACAGGCGUCGACGGGUAGCCGGCCUGAGAGGGUGACCGGCCACACUGGGACUGAGACACGGCCCAGACUCCUACGGGAGGCAGCAGUGGGGAAUAUUGCACAAUGGGCGCAAGCCUGAUGCAGCAACGCCGCGUGAGGGAUGACGGCCUUCGGGUUGUAAACCUCUUUUAGCAGGGAAGAAGCGAAAGUGACGGUACCUGCAGAAAAAGCGCCGGCUAACUACGUGCCAGAGA
rnacentral:rRNA from 1 species